UACGUAGGGUGCAAGCGUUUGUCCGGAAUUAUUGGGCGUAAAGAGCUCGUAGGCGGUCUGUCGCGUCUGCUGUGAAAACUCAGGGCUUAACCCUGAGCUUGCAGUGGGUACGGGCAGACUAGAGUGCGGUAGGGGAGACUGGAAUUCCUGGUGUAGCGGUGAAAUGCGCAGAUAUCAGGGAGGGAACACCGGUGGCGAAGGCGGGUCUCUGGGCCGUAACUGACGCUGGAGGAAGCGGAAAGCAUGGGGAGCGAACAGG
rnacentral:rRNA from 1 species